GCAUGUGACCGGAAGAACCUACCUCCUGGCUCAAGCGGGUGAUUGUGCUCAAGGAUUAGUUGUACGGUACACUGACACCACAGCUAUCGAGAAGCCAACAGCAUAUGAAUACAUGUUCAAGAAGUUCUGAGCUUCCUCUCUUGAUUGAAAUUCCAUCCCUUUCACUGGCAUUACAUAUUCAUUUCUUGUUGAAGAUCCUGCUUCAUUUUGCUGCUGCUCUGCCAGGUUGUCUUUCCCCUGCAUCACCAUCUUCAGCAUUGUUACUGUUCUUCCCAUCCAGAUUCCAUGUAUGGUCAAAGUCUUGUUUAUGUGUUUCUUCUUGUUGCUCAUCUUCAUCAACAACCUAUGAAAUAAAUGAAGAAUUUAUAUGCUAUUUUUUGUAUGUGUAAAUUUUAUGGCACCAAUACUGUAUUAUAUAUGAUUUUGAACAUUCAUAGUAAUUUUUUACCUCAUCGAGUUGCAUGUCAUCAAAUAAACUUGAGUUCCAUGGAUUUUGUUCAUGGUCCUCUUUGUUUGUAUUGUUUUCGUAUGUCGAACUUGUAGAUUGUCCUUCACCAUCCACUAUUGUUUUAUC